GGAAACACACGACUUCUAUAAUGUCUUUGGUCAUUCCAUUUGGUUAAAGUCAAUUGGCAUCAUACUGAAACCUGCUCAGCCGCUCCCAAAUGAACAUAGCCAAAUUCUAGGCUAUCUCCAAUUCCAUAAGUUCUCUCCGGUGACUGUCUUAAAUUGUGGAGAAAUAUUCUUUUCGAUGUAACUAUGAUGUAGUAACAUUUUU
rnacentral:misc_RNA from 1 species